UGGUUUUGUUUGGGAGCUGCUUGCCUGAGCUUUGUUAUCUGUGCUGGGCUGUUUAUCCUGCUAAUCCUGAUCCUGACCUCCUGGCUGAAUGCAGACAUGCUGUGCUGAUAUGGACUGGGGUGGCAAUCACUCUUUUUUCCUGGCUGUUUCAACAGAAGUGCUCGGGACACACAAAUUCUUACUGUAAUGACAGGCAGGCUUUCUGAAGCCAAAUCCUGCUGAAACAAAUAAUAUUGCUGAAGUUAAUGAAUGAAGAGAGUAAGUGAACUCUGCAGGCAGCGAAUUUAACUGCUACUGAAAGACUGCAAAUACACAACAGAGGUUUGCUUAUGUGGAACUGUAAUCAUAACCAUCACUUGGAAAAAAGAGAACCAGCAGAGCUGAGCUGCAUGUCUUCCUCCCCCACUGUGGGAUAUCCCUGCCAAGGGAAGACAAACAGCUACUUGGAAAAAGACUAUGCAUGUGCCUAGGAUAACGUGGAUAGUAAAAAGAUUUCUACAGAAUAAGUUAUGUGUCUGAGAGGAACUAGCAAGUGGAAAACAGAAGAGGAUAAAUAUAUUUUCACUUUAAGCUACUGCAUUCAUCAUCUCUAAAUUCAUGAGCUGGACUGCAGAAAAGAGAGAACUCCAAUGAGAGCAGAGUCUGGCCCAGUGAAUUAAAUAAAUGCUGACAACGUUUAAGACAGCAAUAGAGAAGUGGGUAGCUGAACUGGAAUUGAACAGUCACUGGAAAGGGGUAAGAGUUUGAGAUUUCAAUUAGGAUGUUCCAGUAUAGAGAAUGGAAGUGAUACACUUGCUCCUUCUUGGACCUGCUCCAGCUCCAGGGAGACAAAAGAAGCUGAUGGACUCCUGUGGUUUGGGAAGCUGCUGGCUGAAACACUUUAAUUAUUUGUUUGCAGCACGGAAAGCACUGUGUUACACUUAUUGUCAUGUUUUGGUUUCUUGAUUCUAAGCUCUUUCGGUACAUCUGCAUCUUCUCCAACCUCUGCUCUAUCCUGAAAUGUCUCACACAGAGCAGUACAGAGUGGAAAACAAUUCUGAAAUCUUGAUGAAAUCCACAUUCACAGGGAUUGAGCAUUACCAGCUGGUUUUCUCUCAAUACACCCUUACAGAACAGCAAAAUAUAUUGUUAAAGGUAAAGAUUUCAGCUGUUUAUUUUAUCUGCAGAAAGUAGAUCCUACAGAAGCAAGAAGAAGACAGGAAAGAAUGUAUUACAUCGUGUACUUGUGAGUCAUGGAUAUCUCCUGUAACCUGUGAGUUUUGGAAUGGCAUUACACCUGCUGUGUGCAUGUGAGCUAAACCCCUUCAUGUUCAAUAUAACAUUCAGUUGGAAAAUACAUGGAUGCAAUCGGAGUGUUACCCAACUUUUCCUACACUUGUGUGUACUUGCUGUUCUUGGCAGAAGUGCUACCUCUGUUUUAACCCUUGCCUUUUCCUUUAGCUGGUGUCUCAUGCUGUUCCACAGAGCUGGCUAAAAUAAGAAAUGAUGGGAAAAUCUCAUUCAUGACAAAUGAUAAGUUUUUGCUAACCUUUACUGCUUUUUUGGGUGGGUGUUGGAAAAUUAGAAAUCAGAGCCUAAUCUUCAUUCCAGUGUAUUUAGCAGCUGCACAGUCCAGUUCAUCUGGCAUAUCAAAAACUGAAUCCAAUCUGAAUCUGAGAAACAAUAUUAGUUGGAAAAAAAGAUCAAUAGUAGGAAAGGUUUCAAUGUAAGUAUAAAUAUUUUUCCAUAAAGGUCUAGCCAUCUCUACUUGGGUACUUGUUUGCUGAGGUUUUUCUAACGCAAGCUAAAAGAUCUUUUGGGGGUAGGCAUGUUGUCUUGUUUUGCUAUCAGCCUACAUUUUCCUCAAUGGGUGCUUAAUAUCUGGUUAGUUUCUUUGAAAGUCUAUAUAAAAGCUGAGCUGCUUGGAAAAUCUGCAUCUUGUUUUGUAGCAAAGCAUCUCAAGGGCAGGAUUUUUUUUCAGCCAAAAGAAAUUAAGGUCAAGUUUAUCCAGAUAAACAAUUUCCCAACGCUAAUCUUUCACUGCCUGGAAUGUCUUUGGACAGCUGUAAUAUUUGUAGCAGUUCUUUUAAAUAAUCAUUUCUGUCAUUUUGAAAAUGAGAUAGUGUAAAAUUUGCAACUUUUUACAGUGCCACCCAUUGUAAAUGCUGCUGUACUAAGGAGUCAGUCAACAUAGCAUUAUACAUAUGGUAUCUCUUGUGACAACGAAGUAGAGCAGGAUCCUAGGCUGGUAUAUGUUAGAAAGUUCUACGCAGAUUGUCACUGUGAUGCAAUUGACAUUUCACUUUUACCAAAACUACUAAACAUUCAUAUACUGCUUGGUUUCAAAACAACUCUCAGAAGUACAGUGCUUUCUGCCUUCCGGAUAAACCAAACCCAAAGCAAUAAAGAAUUGUGUCAAGUAAUGACCACCUGAGAUGAGCUGAUACCUUUCAGGAUUUUGCAAGACAUACCAAUAUUCCAGAAACAUUUACUGCACACUUUUGCAAAGUCAGCUGUGAUAUUUCAGGUAAGCACAUACGAUUUUUUAAUGCUUUGAACUACCUUGCAGGCUAUCUUUGCACCUUUCUAUCAGCUUAAAGACUCUGUAUUUGAUGAAAUUGGUUUAAUGUGUAACAUGAUAUGAUUGCCAGUCUCUAGGACCGGACAAGACACUACUUUCUGUGCAGUCAACCAUAGCAUCCUGACUUUCAAAAUUGUUGGUAAAUGGAAAGCUGUACUUGAAAUUAAUGGAAAGUUUUCUGCCUUUCAGUAGGAUUUUGCGUAAUGGUCAUGACAGUAAUAGAGUGUAUUGUUUGCAUUAAAACUUGCUGCUUCCUAAAAAGUUCCAUCUAUAGAUGAUACAGGGUCUAGAAAUAGUCAAAAUGCUUUUAAACUGCAUGGAAACAGAAGAUACAAGGUGCUACUUCAUUUUCUCAACCCACCUAAAUGCACAGGCCUUGUUCCACGGACCCUGUCCGUCAUUCAUGUGAAAGUAAAAAGCUCUGUCAACAUGGAAAUUCUCCGGACUGUCAAUUCCCUUAACUAAUCCAAUUUCUGUAGACAAAGUAUCUGCUCUGCUUUUAGUAAGUGCUGUAUUUGCUUAUAGAAAGGGUAUACCAGAGGGGGAUCAGAUUUGGGAGUUUCUGUAGGCAUUGAAGCUCCAUUUGCAAAUAACUAGUAAAAACAAAUAUAAAAUAA